rnacentral:rRNA from 1 species
GUCCUCUUGAUUAUAAUUUGAGGUCUAACCUGCCCACUGAAAAUUUUUAACGGCCGCAGUAAUUUGACUGUGCAAAGGUAGCAUAAUCAUUAGUUUUUUAAUUAAAAGCUUGUAUGAAUGGUUGAACGAGGUAAAAUCUGUCUCUAAUUAAUUUAAAUUAGAAUUUAAUUUUUAAGUUAAAAAGCUUAAAUAAAUAUAAAAGACGAGAAGACCCUAUAGAUCUUUAUAUUAAUUAUUUUAAUUUUAAUAAAGAAUUAUUUAUUAAUUAAUAUAAUUAAUAUUUUAUUGGGGUAAUAAAAAGAUUAAAAAAAUUCUUUUAUAAUUUAUACAUUGAUUAGUGAAUAAAUGAUCCAAUUAUUUUGAUUAUAAGAUUAAGUUACCUUAGGGAUAACAGCGUAAUUUUUUUAAAGAGUUCUUAUCGAUAAAAAAGUUUGCGA